UGCGGAAUUUUAGAUAAUGGAGGGAACUCUGAUCUAGCGACGCCGCGUGCAGGAAGAAGGUCUUCGGAUUGUAAACUGCCGUGGUAAGGGAAAAAUGCUAUGUAGAGUGGAAAGCUACAUAGAGGGAUGGUACCUUACUAGAAAGCCCCGGCUAACUACGUGCCAGCAGCCGCGGUAAUACGUAGGGGGCAAGCGUUACCCGGAAUCACUGGGCGUAAAGGGAGCGUAGGUGGCCUAACAUGUCAACUGUGAAAACCCGGAGCUCAACUCCGGACUUGCAGUUGAAACUGGUAGGCUUGAGGACAGUAGAGGAAGACGGAACUGCCAGUGUAGGGGUAAAAUCCUUAGAUAUUGGCAGGAACGCCGGUGACGAAGGUGGUUUUCUGGGCCGGUUCUGACACUGAUGCUCGAAAGCCAGGGGAGCGAACGG
rnacentral:rRNA from 1 species